rnacentral:lncRNA from 1 species
CUUGAUUCCAAAUCUGGGUGACCAGGUACCAAGGAAGGAAAGAAGGAUAUAACUAGGAGUAAAUUGGAAAGAGGUAACUAUCACAUGGAUCCAUUUUCUCAAACACAUGGCUGGGCUGGGGACUUCUGGUUUUAUGCAGAAGCAAAUGAAGAUGUCAGAUCAAGGAUGAAGGGAGCUGAGUUCAGCUGUUCACAAAGAUUAAACCCUGGAGUUCAGUCUUGCACCUGAACAGGCAAAGAACACCUCUCCAUGCAAUCCUACCAUUAUACCAAGACAUCUUCAUCUGAAUAUUUUAAUGCACUUUCUUGGCAGAAAACAUCUUCAUAAAUAGAUGAUUUCUUGUAUC